ACGCUCGACACCUACGAGAGGCAGCAGUGGGGAAUAUUGCACAAUGGGGGGAACCCUGAUGCAGCGACGCCGCGUGAGUGAAGAAGUACUUCGGUAUGUAAAGCUCUAUCAGCAGGGAAGAAAAUGACGGUACCUGACUAAGAAGCCCCGGCUAACUACGUGCAGCAGCCGCGGUAAUCUGAGCGGGCUGGCAAGGC
rnacentral:rRNA from 1 species